rnacentral:lncRNA from 1 species
CCGUCGGCGACGGGCCUCCGUUUGCUGAGUCGCGAAAUCUUGUUUCUUGUUGAUCUUUGACGAGUUAUAACGUUUUGUUUGACCAUUUUUCGGGGGUUACGAACCUUGGGAGGUAAAAACACCUCCUUGGAACCAUUCUUGAUCAUCCAAUUCAUCCCUAAUCAAUCCUAACACCACCACUAACACCAUCUUCAUCCUAACCCUAAUCAAAUCACCAUCUCCAUCAUUCCAUCAUCACCAUCAUCCUCUUCCACCUUCAUCUUCAAACCCUAACUUCCACCUCUCCUCAAGACUUGAAGAUUAUGGUUCGGGGUUCGUGUUCAUCCUCCGGUGAUCGUGCUUCUUCGACUAUGAACGCCUAUUGUUUAAUUUAGGGUUUCGAAUUGUUUCUUGCUUCAACUUUGUGACAAAUUGUGUUUGAUUUUUGAAACCAUUGACAAUAGUUUACAUUUGUUUCGUAUU